GCAUUGUAGCAUAGUGGUUAAGGAGCAGGACUCGUGACCAAUAGGUUGCCGGUUCGAUUCCCGCUAGGGCA